AUUGAACGCUGGCGGCAGGCCUAACACAUGCAAGUCGAGCGGCAGCGGGAAAGUAGCUUGCUACUUUUGCCGGCGAGCGGCGGACGGGUGAGUAAUGCCUGGGAAAUUGCCCAGUCGAGGGGGAUAACAGUUGGAAACGACUGCUAAUACCGCAUACGCCCUACGGGGGAAAGCAGGGGACCUUCGGGCCUUGCGCGAUUGGAUAUGCCCAGGUGGGAUUAGCUAGUUGGUGAGGUAAUGGCUCACCAAGGCGACGAUCCCUACCUGGUCUGAGAGGAUGAUCAGGCACACUGGAACUGAGACACGGUCCAGACUCCUACGGGAGGCAGCAGUGGGGAAUAUUGCACAAUGGGGGAAACCCUGAUGCAGCCAUGCCGAGUGUGUGAAGAAGGCCUUCGGGUUGUAAAGCACUUUCAGCGAGGAGGAAAGGUUGUUGGCUAAUACCCAGCAGCUGUGACGUUACUCGCAGAAGAAGCACCGGCUAACUCCGUGCCAGCAGCCGCGGUAAAAC
rnacentral:rRNA from 1 species